UACGAAGGGGGCUAGCGUUGCUCGGAAUCACUGGGCGUAAAGCGCACGUAGGCGGAUUGUUAAGUCAGGGGUGAAAUCCUGGAGCUCAACUCCAGAACUGCCUUUGAUACUGGCGAUCUUGGGUCCGGGAGAGGUGAGUGGAACUGCGAGUGUAGAGGUGAAAUUCGUAGAUAUUCGCAAGAACACCAGUGGCGAAGGCGGCUCACUGGCCCGGUACUGACGCUGAGGUGCGAAAGCGUGGGGAGCAACAGG
rnacentral:rRNA from 1 species